rnacentral:rRNA from 1 species
UACGAAGGGGGCGAGCGUUGUUCGGAAUCACUGGGCGUAAAGGGCGCGUAGGCGGCCAUUCAAGUCAGAGGUGAAAGCCCAAGGCUCAACCUUGGAACUGCCUUUGAUACUGUUUGGCUUGAGACCGGUAGAGGUAAGUGGAACUGCGAGUGUAGAGGUGAAAUUCGUAGAUAUUCGCAAGAACACCAGUGGCGAAGGCGGCUUACUGGACCGGUUCUGACGCUGAGGCGCGAAAGCGUGGGGAGCAAACGGG